GACAGAGGCCUCAAGCGUUAGGCGGAAUUACUGGGCGUAAAGCGUGCGCAGGCGGUUUUGUAAGUCUGUCGUGAAAUCCCCGGGCUCAACCUGGGAAUGGCGAUGGAGACUGCAAGGCUAGAGUUUGGCAGAGGGGGGUAGAAUUCCACGUGUAGCAGUGAAAUGCGUAGAUAUGUGGAGGAACACCGAUGGCGAAGGCAGCCCCCUGGGUCAAAACUGACGCUCAUGCACGAAAGCGUGGGGAGCAAACAGG
rnacentral:rRNA from 1 species